rnacentral:rRNA from 1 species
CCCGCACAAGCGGUGGAGCAUGUUGGUUUAAUUCGAAGCAACGCGAAGAACCUUACAGGUCUUGACAUCCCGAUGCUAUUCUAGAGAUAGAAAGUUACUUCGGUACAUCGGUGACAGGUGGUGCAUGGUUGUCGUCAGCUCGUGUCGUGAGAUGUUGGGUUAAGUCCCGCAACGAGCGCAACCCCUAUUGUUAGUUGCCAUCAUUCAGUUGGGCACUCUAGCGAGACUGCCGGUAAUAAACCGGAGGAAGGUGGGGAUGACGUCAAAUCAUCAUGCCCCUUAUGACCUGGGCUACACACGUGCUACAAUGGUUGGUACAACGAGUUGCGAGUCGGUGGCGGCGAGCUAAUCUCUUAAAGCCAAUCUCAGUUCGGAUUGUAGGCUGCAACUCGCCUACAUGAAGUCGGAAUCGCUAGUAAUCGCGGAUCAGCACGCCGCGGUGAAUACGUUCCCGGGCCUU